AGAUCUCCACUACUAAUGCCCCGCGUCUUAACUACCUUAUCGUUGUCGCUUGGAAACGGACGUGAAAAUGCAAGUAAAACGCGGGUACGUUUUACUUCCAGGAGGUAUACUGGUAGAAGAGAGUGCUUGUCGUGAUCGAAAAGAAGCAGGUAAUGGGGAUCUUUCCAUCCAAUGUUCUAUUGUGACAAAUCCUAGAUGAUGUGAAGAUUUCCAAAGGAAUUUAUUUUUAAAAGUAUACAAUUAAUUCUACAGAACAAUUUUGUAUUUUAUUGAAAUAGUUUACAGACAAAAGUUAGACACGGCGAUGGGAACCAAACUUAUGCCGACUUAUGCAACACUCGGUUUAUGAUUUUUAGAAGAAAAAAUGUUCUCUUUUGUUAAAUAAAACGUACUCGGACAAAA